rnacentral:ribozyme from 1 species
AGAUGUUAUCGUAUAAUAAUUUAUUUAUUUAUUUACCUAUUUAUUUAUUUAUUUUUUAAUUUUCAUUUUGGUACGUUUUCAUCCGC